rnacentral:rRNA from 1 species
GAUUAKAUACCCUGGUAASCCAUGCCGUAAACGGUGGGCGCUAGGUGUGGGGUCCUUCCACGGAUUCCGUGCCGUAGCUAACGCAUUAAMCGCCCCYCCUGGGGAGUACGGCCGCAAGGCUAAAAAUCAAAGGAAUUGACGGGGGCCCGCACAAWCGGCRAAKCAUGUGGAUUAWUUCGAUGCAACRCUAAKAACCUUACCUAGGCUUGACAUAUACAGGACGACGGCARAWAUGUCGUUUCCCUUGUGGCUUGUAUACAGGUGAUGCAUGGUUGUCGUCAGCUCRUGUCAUGAGAUGUUGGGUUAAGUCCCGCAACGAGCGCACCCCUGUCUCAUGUUGCCRKCACGUUAUGGUGGMGACUCGUGAGAGACUGCCGGGGUCACUCGGAGGAWGUGGGGAUGACGUCAAUCAUCMUGCCCCUUAUGUCUAGGCUUC